AAGUACUUUCCAUUCAAAAACAAUAGAGUUUUUAGUAAACAAAGUCGAAUUGGCCUAUAAACUAUCUUAAGCAGCCAUCAAAUGGAGCGACUCAGCGUGACUGCUUAAAAAAGAUGGCUGCUUUGGUCAGGCUGAAAUUAAUUUGUUGAUUAGCUACUUAAUACAGAUCGCUAAGGCAGGAUUUACUCUAUACCUCUAUUACGGUUAUAUAGAUUAUAUUUUUAUCUAAUGUGUGCAAAAUGUCUCCCUAAAUCUUCAUUUUAGCUUUUCGAAGAAUAAGGAGAGCUAUCCUACUCACAACAGCGUCGUCGUCACACCUUGGUGAAUUUUUUCGUAUCAGUUCAAAUUUCACAAAUCCUUUUGUCAUAUAGCUUUGAAACUUUCAACACUUGUGUACCAUCACCUUGUCAAGUUUAAGGCUAGAGUACACAACUCUGUCAAGGAUUUUGACUGAAUUAUGGCCUAUUUUAACGUACACAUCUUGGUGUUAAGUAUUUCGUACCAGUUCAUAUUUAGUGUAAACUGUUUUACAUAUAUCUUUGAAACGGUGACAAAGCGUAAUAACAAAAAGGGUAAACUAUACCUCUCACAUGUACAUCUAGUUACAAGGUUAAAACCGCAAUGUUGUAAAAGUUGCUAAUCGUUAAUUAAAAACUGAUAUAAAAUACACUAAAGCUCAAUCAAAGCAAGAGCUCUCCGUAAGACAGCAAAGACAGAACGCAUGACUUUCCUCGGCUAGAGCUGGGCUUAAUUCUAUCAAAUAUCGGAGGAAGCAAUAAAACAGAUCAGACGAGGAUAUGAGGUUUGUGCCAUUGUUUGCAUAUAUUAGUAAACUGUAUUUUUUGUAGAUUUGUAUUUCAGAAGAAACUGUAGGAACGUAUCCAGGUUGAUAUUUUGGUCUUAAACACAACAUACCCCCGCCUCCUCCCCUUCAUAAAAACUGUUAUAAAUCAUUUGCGCAAAUCAUUUAGAUUACAUACUUACGAGGACAUGUUUGAAAAAUUAUCAGACCUCGACGUUUCAGUCGUUCAAUUAAGACGUUCCUUUCUAUGAUGAAAUUUGUUAGCAAGUGGAGUGAUUGAUAAAACACUUCAUUCUGUUGCAUGGGCCCGUCUUAUCAAGAUACUUACGAGAAUAUUUCUCGUAUCUUUCUCGUAAGUCUCUCGCAAGGUUCUCGUAAGUUUGAUAGGUGUCUUAUGAAAAUUAUCGUAGCUACGAUAUCGUAAGUUUCUACAUAAAAUCCUCGUAAAGUUACGAGAGGGUUAGGGGUCUCGUAAAUAUUUACGAUAUCGUAAAUAAAAUGGCGGCAUCCGUGUGAGCAACCACGACGAAACUUUCUGUCGAAAAUACUGCAGAUUGUUCAGCAGUAAAACUUGAUUUUCCGUGUACAUGUUGCACAACAAUGGAUGAACAACGUCAUCGAUCAUACAAAAGCACGCGCUUUGGGUCAGUGCGACACGAAGCGGAAGCGAGUGUAAAGGAAAUAUUGAGCACAUAAAUUCUGUUUAUCUUCGCUGUUUCCUGUGUUGACAGAUCAAUUGGAGGGACAUUGCUGGUAAUAAUUAUGGUAGAAAUAUUCGGUUAUUUAGGUAUAAUUUUAUGAGUGUCGAUAUUGCAGACAUUCAUCAACAGUUAUUUGGGGUCGACUCGUACCCUGUUUACUUCGUAUCAGUGUUUUUUAUCAUCUAUAUAAUAAAAGAAACUGAAUGUGCAUGAGACUUGAUUUUAAUAGAUGUAGGUGGGUAGAGUAUAAGGGUGCACUUAUACUUCCUUACUAUUGAGCUAGCUUUUAUAGCGACGUGGUAGAGUGUCCGCCUUAGGUGUGAGAGGUCCCGGGUUCGAUUCCCAGUCAGGGCUGAAGUAUGAUCAGCCUGUUACAUAUAAAAAUAAAUUAAAUAGGCAUCAAUGAUCUAUAUUUGAUACGGACAAAUGCCUGCAAUCGAAGGGUAUGUUUGACAGUAUUGCAACUGUAACAGUCUCAGGAAAAAUGUGCAGCCUUGACUGGGUUUCAAAUCUCGGACCUUCUGCUUACCAUGCCAAAGCUCUACCAACUGAGCUACAUGUACCGAGGCCACCCGAUACGAGAACCGCUACACACCUUCCCUCUUAUUGCGAGACAUUAGCACUCCUGGCCAAUGUCUGCUGCAGACUGUUAAAUGAAUUCAGAUUCACACCCCAUCCAAACUGCUUUGCCCUGCAUGGGCUCCAAGGGUGAGCAUCCUGGACGAGCCGCCAAAUGUAACAGUCUCAGGAAAAAUGUGCAGCCUCGAUGGGGAUUCAAACCUCGGACCUUCGGCUUACCAUGCCAACGCUCUACCAAUUGAGCUACCGAGGCCACCCGAUACGAGAACCACUUAUUCAGCUACACAACUUAUAUGACCUGUCUGUAUUGAACAUAUGUCUACUGGAUAAUAAAGUCAAGGAAUUCUCUUGCCCUCCAAUAAAUUAACUGAAAGCCACCUAGCCUGCAUGAUAGUCAUCAGGUAACCCAAUGCCUAGUUGAGAGUCCUCUAGGGGUUUUGUAUCUGGCUUGAAAUCUUGAUUUGACAUAUUUGUGAUAUUACAUAUGUUAUGCAAUGUAAGUUACAAAUGAAACAUUCUUAUCACACAAGCUUGGUAUCACAGUUUAUUAUAAUAUCUUUAAAACUAUUUAUGUUGCAGAAUGCUAGAAGAAAUUACAGACAACAAUACUGCUCAGUGCAGUAACCAGACCUAAAAAAAACACUGCUCAAGGCAAACUUUUGGGACAGAGUGCUGCAUACAUGGGCUUAUGCACAAACUGAGAUUUUGCAAGUCAACUGUCAAAGUCAUAAAGAGAGAUCUAUAGUAGACAAUGUUGAACAGAGUUGAAGUCCUGGAAUCUCGGUCAACUGCAGAUAACAGCAUGGCGUAAAGCAGACGUCUUGUUUCCCAGUCCACUUUUAGUCAGGUAUUCUUGGUGGUAUGAAACUGCAGUCAACACAGGUUUUUAGAGGUCUGCAAGUACAGAGUUUUAAAUUGUGAAAUAAAACCUCUAACCAGUUAGCAGAGUGUGUGUGUGUUAUGCUGUGCUGAGAUAUUGCUGUGACAUACGGUGCAUUAAGGUCCAUAACCUGGUAUUAUAUGUGUUGACAACUGUACAAGACAUCCUAUUGAAGACAGUUGUGAGUGAGCAACAGCCCAAGACACCUUGUUAAUGCUGCCCUGUUACCUACUUAGUUUCUACAUACAAGUCAAGUAUCCAUCAAAGAUUGGCCAUGGUGUUUACAGAACUGAAAGCCAAGCUGUGAUUUUUGAAAAUUUAUUAUAAAGUUCUAAAUGAAAAUACAAUUUGAAAAGCACAGACAACUUCUUGUAUUUUUAAGCUACCACUUAACCAUAGUGUUAAUUGGUUGAUUACAGACAUAAAUGUAUGCCGUGAAGUUCAGUUUAAAAUGACUAAAUAUAAACGCUGUAACAGGAGGAUUGGCCAGUAGCUGAAAGGUCAAGCUCUAAGGCCAUUAUUCACAAGCCAAAUGCUUUUGUGUCUCUGAAUCUCGUAUAGAGAGAUGUCAAAAGGUCAUAUUUAUGCCCAACUUUGAAGAAUAUGUGGUGAAUUGUUUUGCUCAUUGUUGGUCUGUCGGCGUCGU